CACAUACACACCGGUGUUGAGUCAGGGCCCAGUGACCAGGCUCAGAGGGAAACAGGGAAGCAGCAGCUAAAGGAAGCCUGGGCCUGGGAAAAUGCUGCUGAGGCCAGGCCUGGGAACAAAGGCGGGCAGGUCUCACUCUUCCCAUCACUAAAAACAGGGACAACAGCCCUACCUCAUAGGAUGGAGAACAAAGUAAGAUAAGGCGGGAAGCCACCACUGCUGGGGGUUCCUUUCGGAAGACUUGGGCGCCCGCAGCUGAGUGGCAAGCAUGUACUACGGACCACUGGACUGGAAAUCACCAGAGCUAAAGGACUGGAGACUCUCAAGGAGACCUUGUGAGCUCCGCACACUGUGAGGCUCUCCUCCAUCUGGGUCCUCAGCAAUCAUCUCUUUGUUCUCACAGUCAUGAAAGUGAAAGUCGCUCAUUUGUGUCCAACUCUGUGCAACCCCAUAGACUAUAUAGAAUUCUCCAGGCCAGAAUACUGGAGCCGGAAGCCUUUCCCUGCUCCAGGGGAUCUUCGCAACCUAAGGAUCGAACCCAGGUCUCCCACAUUGCAGGCGGAUUCUUCACCAGCUGAGCCACCAGGAAAGACCAAGAAUACUGGAGUGGAACUUAGUAUACUGGGAAGUACGUGGACCAGCAUGUGCCAUAGAGGACUGUCUGCUAUCUCCAGAGUACCUUGGAAAAGGUCAAGGCUUUUGGCCAGACCCCCUGGAAGAACUGACAACAUG
ensembl:lncRNA